rnacentral:rRNA from 1 species
AUUGAACGCUGGCGGCAGGCCUAACACAUGCAAGUCGAGCGAGCGGCGGACGGGUGAGUAAUGUCUGGGAACCUGCCUGCUGGAGGGGGAUAACUACUGGAAACGGUAGCUAAUCCCGCUUCCCAUCAGAUGGGCCCAGAUGGGAUUGGCUAGUGGGUGGGGUAAUGGCUCACCUAGCCGACGAUCCCUAGCUGUUCUGAGAGGAUGACCAGCCAAACGGGAACUGAGACACGGUCCAGACUCCUACGGGAGGCAGCAGUGGGGAAUAUUGCACAAUGGGCGGAAGCCUGAUGCAGCCAUGCCGCGUGUGUGAAGAAGGCCUUCGGGUUGUAAAGCACUUUCAGCGGGGAGGCGUUACCCGCAGAAGAAGCACCGGCUAACUCCGUGCCAGCAGCCGCGGUAAUAC